rnacentral:rRNA from 1 species
UACAGAGGUCUCAAGCGUUGUUCGGAUUCAUUGGGCGUAAAGGGCGUGUAGGUGGCGCCGUAAGUCGGGUGUGAAAUUUCGGAGCUUAACUCCGAAACUGCAUUCGAUACUGCGGUGCUUGAGGACUGGAGAGGAGACUGGAAUUCAUGGUGUAGCAGUGAAAUGCGUAGAUAUCUGGAGGAACACCGGUGGCGAAGGCGGCAUCCUGGACCGGCAUUGACGCUGAGGCGCGAAAGCGUGGGGAGCAAACAGG